GACGACCCACCCAAACGUUAUUCGGAAUUACUGGGCUUAAAGAGUGCGUAGGCGGCCAUGUAAGUAGGGUGUGAAAUCCCACAGCUCAACUGUGGAACUGCGCUCUAAACUACAUGGCUAGAGGGAUAUAGAGGUGAGCGGAACUGAUGGUGGAGCGGUGAAAUGCGUUGAUAUCAUCAGGAACACCGGAGGCGAAGGCGGCUUACUGGGUAUCUUCUGACGCUGAGGUACGAAAGCUAGGGGAGCGAACGGG
rnacentral:rRNA from 1 species